AGUUGUAUAAUGGGUAUAGAGUUUCAGUUUUGCAAGAUGAAAACAUUCAGGAGCUUGUUUACACAACAAUAGGAAGGUCCUUACUACUGAACUGUACCCUGAGAAACGGGCAAGAGGGCAAUUUUCAUGUUAUGUGUCUUUUCACUCAGUUAAAAGAAAAUGCCAGUCUGUUAUCUUGGAGUGAUGAGGCACCCAGCAGCCUGGCCAUCCAGGUGGCCGGGUGUGACCAGUGGGUUCUCUCCUCACAGCUGAGCCACACGGACUCGAGGAAACAGGAACUGGGUCUGGGCUGGGACCACCCUGGGCUGCGUCUGGCAGGUGUCGUCGUCGUGGGCUUGAGCGAGUUUGUUUUAGGGCUGAGCUCCAAGGGAGAAGAGAGCCAACAGUAGAAGACGCUUGGCAGCACCGGCAUGAAGAUAACGAUGGCAGAGCCUUCCAAUGAGCGACCCCGAGGCCCGAUCUGGGGCGGGAGCCGUCUCACAGCUACCUCGCUGAUGGCCCCCACUCCAGUGCUUUCUUUUCCUUUCUCUCUGAGCAAUAAAAGCAGCUCUUUUUUUCA